AUGCUGCUUAUAGAUUCUGCUUUCCUUCAAGGAGCAUCCGUCGUGGUCGCCGCCGUUGUCUCUGUUUUCCUUCAAUAACGAUAAUAUGCAUGUGUAUCAACUGUGCCCUUCAUUCCAAGUCAAAAUCAAAGUCAAGUAUAAUCCCAUGGAUGAAAAUAAAGUGUCCUAUGCAAACGAACGAAUGGCAUUGACUGUGGCUAUUUUGUCAUGCAAUUUAUGAAAGAGAUAAUAUUGGCAAAUCAAGACAUGAUCCCCGAAAAUUACUUUGGAGAUUACAAAUGUAAAACCUAUUCUAAAGAUAAGCUAGUUCAGGUCGAGGAGGAUUGGACAACCUUUAUGGUCGAGUAUCUUAGCGAG